CGGUCCCAAGGGUUGGGCUGUUCGCCCAUUAAAGCGGUACGCGAGCUGGGUUCAGAACGUCGUGAGACAGUUCGGUCCCUAUCCGUCGUGGGCGUAGGAAAUUUGAGAGGAGCUGUCCUUAGUACGAGAGGACCGGGAUGGACAUACCUCUGGUGUACCAGUUGUCGUGCCAACGGCAUAGCUGGGUAGCUAUGUAUGGACGGGAUAAGUGCUGAAAGCAUCUAAGCAUGAAGCCCCCCUCGAGAUGAGAUUUCCCAACUUCGGUUAUAAGAUCCCUCAAAGAUGAUGAGGUGAAUAGGUUCGAGGUGGAAGCGUAGCGAUACGUGGAGCUGACGAAUACUAAUCGAUCGAAGACUUAAUCAA
rnacentral:rRNA from 1 species